UUUAUAGUAGUUUAAUUUUAAGAAUAGUAAUUUGUGGUAUUACUGGUGAAUUUUUAUUCCUUGGAU
rnacentral:tRNA from 1 species